GACGAACGCUGGCGGCGUGCUUAACACUUGCAAGUCGAACGAUGAAGCCGGAGCUUGCUCUGGUGGAUUAGUGGCGAACGGGUGAGUAACACGUGAGUAACCUGCCCUUGACUCUGGGAUAAGCGUUGGAAACGACGUCUAAUACCGGAUACGAGCUAGGACCGCAUGGUCACUAGCUGGAAAGAACUUCGGUCAAGGAUGGACUCGCGGCCUAUCAGUUAGUUGGUGAGGUAACGGCUCACCAAGACGACGACGGGUAGCCGGCCUGAGAGGGUGACCGGCCACACUGGGACUGAGACACGGCCCAGACUCCUACGGGAGGCAGCAGUGGGGAAUAUUGCACAAUGGGCGCAAGCCUGAUGCAGCAACGCCGCGUGAGGGACGACGGCCUUCGGGUUGUAAACCUCUUUUAGCAGGGAAGAAGCGCAAGUGACGGUACCUGCAGAAAAAGCACCGGCUAACUACGUGCCAGCAGCCGCCGUAAUAC
rnacentral:rRNA from 1 species